CGCGUAGGCGGUCCGCUAAGUUGGAUGUGAAAACUCUGGGCUUAACCCAGAGCCUGCAUUCAAAACUGACGGGCUGGAGUUCUGGAGGGGAUAGCGGAAUUCCUGGUGUAGCGGUGAAAUGCGUAGAUAUCAGGAGGAACACCGGUGGCGAAGGCGGCUAUCUGGACAGAAACUGACGCUGAGGCGCGAAAGCUAGGGGAGCAAACA
rnacentral:rRNA from 1 species